GGCCAUAGUUCAGUGGUAGAGCAUCUGAUCUGCAUGUAGAAAGUUCUGGGUUCAAUCUCCAGGUAGGGCUG